CCUACGGGUGGCAGCAGUGGGGAAUAUUGGGCAAUGGGCGCAAGCCUGACCCAGCAACGCCGCGUGAAGGAAGAAGGCUUUCGGGUUGUAAACUUCUUUUGACAGGGAAGAGCAUAAGACGGUACCUGUCGAAUAACCCACGGCUAACUACGUGCCAGCAGCCGCGGUAAUGCGUAGGUGGCAAGCGUUGUGCGUUUUUACUGGGUGAAAAGGGCGUGUAGCCGGGCUGACAAGACAGAUGUGAAAUCCGGGGGCUCAACCCCCGAAGUGCAUUUGAAACUGUAGGUCUUGAGUAGAGGAGAGGCAGGCGGAAUUCCUAGUGUAGCGGUGAAAUGCGUAGAUAUUAGGAGGAACACCAGUGGCGAAGGCGGCCUGCUGGACGACAACUGACGGUGAGGCGCGAAAGCGUGGGGAGCAAACAGGAUUAGAUACCCGAGUAGUC
rnacentral:rRNA from 1 species